CUGAGGUCACCCGCCCGGCCUUAAAGGAGCCUCGCCGCGAAGUCCAGCGCGGCGCGCCGCUCGCUCGGAGGGGGUGACCUGGUUCUCCUGCGGCUCGCACACCAAAAUGGGUCCCCGCAACUCCGCCCAUCACAGAGCUUCCUUGGGCGCCUGGACUUAGAACCACCCGCUACAAAUUCUGUGGCGUCCUAUCGCCGCUUCAAUUCUCUUAACCCUAAUUUCUUCCAAUUGAGCCUGUUUUGAAGGUGAAACUGAAUACAGUGUCUAUUUGUUGCGUGAAAGAUGCGUGUGGAAUUGGGGCGUGAACGUAUACCGAGUGCUGUGUGCAGGAACACGAAACGAAUCGGCAAAGCACGGAAAGCGGAUUUUUCUUCCCGUUCUACUUAGCUGCGCUUCGUUCCUGCCCCUCCUCGCUCUAGGUGGCCCGACCUGCCACACUCUGCAGGGUCUCACUAAGUUGACCAGAUGGCCUUGAACUCGCAAACCUCCUGCCUCAGCUUCCUGAGUUAACUGGCAUUACAGGUACAGAAUGAUUCCCCCUCAGUGUCCAAGAGUUUGCUCCAUUGUCCCCCACCUUGGACGCUCCAGGCUUGGAACUCUGAAGAAUAGGGACUCAGGUGGGACUCCUCUGGGUCCUCCCAGGCCCAGCUCAUGAAGGUGCACAGACAAAAAGCCUGCCCCUCUGCUGGGUGCCAGAGGCGGAGGGGAGUUUGGCUGCAUUCAGAAGCUGCUCACGGGUGACAGUUCCGAGUGCUCAAGGCAGAAGUGAGGCCCAAGUCCAGCUGUCAGCUUUCCCUCCUUGCCAAGUCCAGAGCAGCCCGGAGGAAGAGCAGAGGCCUGGGAGAGGCAAGCUCCUGAGUGGCCUGUGGCCCAGACCACUCCCAACUCAUUUACCUACAGCCACAGUGUCUCCCCCAAGGUCCCCAGGGUGCUGUAGGGCACCUAGCUGGGUGUCUGUCUGGUCUGUGGGUGGGUAGCCAGAGCACAGGCUCUGCCCCCUUCCUUCCCAGCUGUGUGAUCUCAGGUGUGUGGCUUUGCCUCUCUGAGCCUCAGUUUCCCCAUCAAUAAUUGGAUCGUAAGAAUGACUCAUCUGGCAGGAUUGUCCUGAUAAGUAUCUAUGAAAACAUUGACUGACCAUCAAGCCACGGCCUACAGAAGCCUCAACUAACAUCUGAAUUAGACCUUUUUGGUGGCAAUGAACUAAAAUCAAAAUUAAGCCAGGUGCAGUGUUGCACAUCUGUAAUCCCAGCUCCUCGGGAGGCUGAGGCAGGAAAUGACAAGUUUGAGGCCAGCCUCGGCCAC